UGCUACGGCCAUACCACCCUGAACGUGCCCGAUCUCGUCUGAUCUCGGAAGCUAAGCAGGGUCGAGCCUGGUUAGUACCUGGAUGGGAGAAGGCAGUUUUGUUCUGC
rnacentral:rRNA from 1 species